ACGGGUGAGUAACACGUGGGUGAUCUGCCCUGCACUUCGGGAUAAGCCUGGGAAACUGGGUCUAAUACCGGAUAUGACCUCCUAUCGCAUGGUGGGUGGUGGAAAGAUUUAUCGGUGCAGGAUGGGCCCGCGGCCUAUCAGCUUGUUGGUGGGGUAAUGGCCUACCAAGGCGACGACGGGUAGCCGACCUGAGAGGGUGACCGGCCACACUGGGACUGAGACACGGCCCAGACUCCUACGGGAGGCAGCAGUGGGGAAUAUUGCACAAUGGGCGAAAGCCUGAUGCAGCGACGCCGCGUGAGGGAUGACGGCCUUCGGGUUGUAAACCUCUUUCAGCAGGGACGAAGCGCAAGUGACGGUACCUGCAGAAGAAGCACCGGCUAACUACGUGCCAGCAGCCGCGGUAAUACGUAGGGUGCAAGCGUUGUCCGGAAUUACUGGGCGUAAAGAGUUCGUAGGCGGUUUGUCGCGUCGUUUGUGAAAACCAGCAGCUCAACUGCUGGCUUGCAGGCGAUACAGGCAGACUUGAGUACUGCAGGGGAGACUGGAAUUCCUGGUGUAGCGGUGAAAUGCGCAGA
rnacentral:rRNA from 1 species